rnacentral:rRNA from 1 species
AGAGUUUGAUCAUGGCUCAGGAUGAACGCUGGCGGCGUGCUUAACACAUGCAAGUCGAACGAACCUUCGGGUUAGUGGCGGACGGGUGAGUAACGCGUGGGAACCUGCCCUCAGGAGGGGGAUAACGGCUGGAAACGGCCGCUAAUACCCCAUAUGCCGAGAGGUGAAAAGAAAUUCGCCUGAGGAUGGGCCCGCGUCUGAUUAGCUAGUUGGUGGGGUAAGAGCCUACCAAGGCGACGAUCAGUAGCUGGUCUGAGAGGAUGAUCAGCCACACUGGGACUGAGACACGGCCCAGACUCCUACGGGAGGCAGCAGUGGGGAAUUUUCCGCAAUGGGCGAAAGCCUGACGGAGCAACGCCGCGUGAGGGAUGAAGGCCUCUGGGCUGUAAACCUCUUUUCUCAAGGAAGAAGAACUGACGGUACUUGAGGAAUAAGCCACGGCUAAUUCCGUGCCAGCAGCCGCGGUAAUACGGGAGUGGCAAGCGUUAUCCGGAAUUAUUGGGCGUAAAGCGUCCGCAGGCGGCCUUGUAAGUCUGUCGUUAAAGCGUGGAGCUUAACUCCAUUUGAGCGAUGGAAACUACAAGGCUUGAGUGUGGUAGGGGCAGAGGGAAUUCCCGGUGUAGCGGUGAAAUGCGUAGAUAUCGGGAAGAACACCAGUGGCGAAGGCGCUCUGCUGGGCCAUAACUGACGCUCAUGGACGAAAGCCAGGGGAGCGAAAGGGAUUAGAUACCCCUGUAGUCCUGGCCGUAAACGAUGAACACUAGGUGUCGGGGGAAUCGACCCCCUCGGUGUCGUAGCCAACGCGUUAAGUGUUCCGCCUGGGGAGUACGCACGCAAGUGUGAAACUCAAAGGAAUUGACGGGGGCCCGCACAAGCGGUGGAGUAUGUGGUUUAAUUCGAUGCAACGCGAAGAACCUUACCAGGGUUUGACAUCCUGCGAACCUCUGAGAAAUCGGGGGGUGCCUUCGGGAACGCAGAGACAGGUGGUGCAUGGCUGUCGUCAGCUCGUGUCGUGAGAUGUUGGGUUAAGUCCCGCAACGAGCGCAACCCACGUCUUUAGUUGCCAGCAUUCAGUUGGGCACUCUAGAGAGACCGCCGGUGAUAAACCGGAGGAAGGUGUGGAUGACGUCAAGUCAUCAUGCCCCUUACAUCCUGGGCUACACACGUACUACAAUGCUACGGACAAAGGGCAGCAAGCUCGCGAGAGUAAGCAAAUCCCAUAAACCGUGGCUCAGUUCAGAUCGUAGGCUGCAACUCGCCUACGUGAAGGAGGAAUCGCUAGUAAUCGCAGGUCAGCAUACUGCGGUGAAUACGUUCCCGGGCCUUGUACACACCGCCCGUCACACCAUGGAAGUUGGCCACGCCCGAAGUCGUUACUCCAACCCUUGUGGAGGAGGACGCCGAAGGUGGGGCUGAUGACUGGGGUGAAGUCGUAACAAGGUAACC